UCUCGGCUUAUCACCGGCAGUCCCCCUAGAGUGCCCAACUAAAUGCUGGCAACAUGCGACAGGGGUUGCGCUCGUUGCGGGACUUAACCCAACAUCUCACGACACGAGCUGACGACAGCCACGCACCACCUGUGAACCUGCCCAAUAAAGGGAAACCGUGUUUCCACGGCGGUCAGGAACAUGUCAAACCCAGGUAAGGUUCUUCGCGUUGCGUCGAAUUAAACCACAUGCUCCGCUGCUUGUGCGGGUCCCCGUCAAUUCCUUUGAGUUUUAGCCUUGCGGCCGUACUCCCCAGGCGGCACACUUAACGCGUUAGCUUCCCAGCACAGAGGGUCGAUACUCCAUACUGGUAGUGUGCAUCGUUUACGGCGUGGACUAC
rnacentral:misc_RNA from 1 species